GACGAACGCUGGCGGCUUGCCUAAUACAUGCAAGUCGAACGCUUCUUUCCUCCCGAGUGCUUGCACUCAAUUGGAAAGAGGAGUGGCGGACGGGUGAGUAACACGUGGGUAACCUACCCAUCAGAGGGGGAUAACACUUGGAAACAGGUGCUAAUACCGCAUAACAGUUUAUGCCGCAUGGCAUAAGAGUGAAAGGCGCUUUCGGGUGUCGCUGAUGGAUGGACCCGCGGUGCAUUAGCUAGUUGGUGAGGUAACGGCUCACCAAGGCCACGAUGCAUAGCCGACCUGAGAGGGUGAUCGGCCACACUGGGACUGAGACACGGCCCAGACUCCUACGGGAGGCAGCAGUAGGGAAUCUUCGGCAAUGGACGAAAGUCUGACCGAGCAACGCCGCGUGAGUGAAGAAGGUUUUCGGAUCGUAAAACUCUGUUGUUAGAGAAGAACAAGGACGUUAGUAACUGAACGUCC
rnacentral:rRNA from 1 species